rnacentral:misc_RNA from 1 species
GAUGAAGAACGUAGCGAAAUGCGAUAAGUAAUGUGAAUUGCAGAAUUCAGUGAAUCAUCGAAUCUUUGAACGCACAUUGCGCCCCCUGGUAUUCCGGGGGGCAUGCCUGUUCGAGCGUCAUUUCACCACUCAAGCCUCGCUUGGUAUUGGGCAUCGCGGUCCGCCGCGCGCCUCAAAUCGACCGGCUGGGUCUUCUGUCCCCUAAGCGUUGUGGAAACUAUUCGCUAAAGGGUGUUCGGGAGGCUACGCCGUAAAAAAACCCCAUUUCUAAGGUUGACCUCGGAUCAGGUAGGGAUACCCGCUGAACUUAAGCAUAUCAAUAAGCGGAGGA